GACGAACGCUGGCGGCGUGCCUAACACAUGCAAGUCGAACGGAAAGGCCCUGCUUUUGUGGGGUGCUCGAGUGGCGAACGGGUGAGUAACACGUGAGUAACCUGCCCUUGACUUUGGGAUAACUUCAGGAAAAUGGGGCUAAUAUCGGCUAGGAGCUCCUGCUGCAUGGUGGGGGUUGGAAAGUUUCGGCGGUUGGGGAUGUACUGGCGGCUUAUCGGCUUGUUGGUGGGGUAGUGGUUUACCAAGGCUUUGAGGGGUAGCCGGCCUGGGAGGGUGACCGGCGACAUUGGGCCUGCGAUAGGGCCCAGAAUGCAACGGGAGGCAGCGGUGGGGAAUAUUGCAGAAUGGGCGGACGCCAGAUGCAGAAACGCCGCGUGCGGGAUGCCGGGCUUCGGGUUGUGAACCGCUUUCGCCUGUGACGAAGAGUGAGUGACGGUACUGGGUAAAGAAGCACCGGCUAACUACGUG
rnacentral:rRNA from 1 species